rnacentral:rRNA from 1 species
AAGCUCGUAGUUGAAUUUCGGGAUUAGUACGUCGGUCGUGCCUUAGGUACGUACUGGUGUUACUGGUUUCUACCUUCUGACGAACCAUCAUGUCAUUAAUUUGGUGUGGUGGGGAAUCAGGACUGUUACUUUGAAAAAAAUUAGAGUGUUUAAAACAGGCUCGCGCUUGAAUACAUUAGCAUGGAAUAAUGAAAUAGGACGUUGAUCCUAUUUUGUUGGUUUCUAGGAUUGACGUUAAUGAUUAAUAGGGAUAGUUGGG